rnacentral:lncRNA from 1 species
CGAGGGCAGUGUGGGACACCAGCCCGGGGCUCAUGGCUGGCCGAGGCUCCAUGUGCCCCUUGAGGGAGAGAGGUGCAGGGCAGACCAGGCAAGGCUGAGGUCUGUCCCUCCAGUGGGAUCAAAGCCUGGGAAGGAAGGAGAAGCUCAGGGAAGGGAGGCCCAGAGGACAGAGAGGCUCCCCACCACCCCUGCAAUGUGGAGCACAGCCACCCAAUAUUGCCCCAGCUCAGCAGGAGCAGCUGGGAAUGGAUGAGGAUCCCUGUCUCAGGAAGGCAGGCUCUGCUGGGGAACUCCAGAACCUGGAAAAUGACUUCAGAGGAGAAAGGCCUCAGUGUGGAAGGAGAGGAGGUGUCAGCCAAGCAGGUGGGAUCCUAAGAGAGGAAAGAUCUAAGAUCAGACAUCAGAAGCCAGACUCACAGCCCUGUGGCAGGAACCCAGAGAAGACGGGGAAGAGCCCGGCAGGAGAAGAAAGCAAUGGAGGCUUCUACCCAUCUUCUUCCGCUGCUGCUUAGCUGGGGCUUCUAGGGCAGUGAGGGGCUUAUUGUAAGGGCAGAGCUAUGUGUGCACCCAUCCUACCCCCUGGAGCCCUGCCUGCCCUCAUCCCACAUCUCCUGGCAGUGGCUUGGUGGCCCUACACUCAGUCACCAAUGUUCUCAGUACCUAGCUGCAGGGUUGGUUUUAUUUUAUUUAUUUAUUCAUGAGAGACACAGAGAGAGGCAGAGACAUAGACAAGGGAGAAGCAGGCUCCCCGUGGGGAGCCCGAUCCCAGGACCCCGGGAUCACGACCUGAGCCAAAGGCAGAUGCUCAACUACUGAGCCAGCCAGGUGCUCCUCUUAACUACAAUUCUUNCCCCGAUCCCGGCCCCGGGAUCACGACCUGAGCCAAAGGCAGAUGCUCAACUACUGAGCCAGCCAGGUGCUCCUCUUAACUACAAUUCUUUUUGCGGAUACUAUUCAUCUAAGGAAAUGAAGCCUGCUGUCUCAAUUAAAUAUAGUAGCUUCAUCUCCCCUGCAAGAUCCCCUCGCCCAACAACUCUCUGAGGCCCCCUUUGCCUAUAGGAUAAAUAUCCACAUUCUCCACUUUCCAAUUUUAUCUCCCUUAUGCUGGUCUUUUCAGAGUUCCCCCAACACAGUGUUUGUCUACCUGCCUCCAUGCUCCUUGGCUUCUGCUCUUCUCUCCCUAUGGAGUGCCCUCCCCCUAGUGCUACCUUUGUAGUUAGUUCUAUCCUUCCAGACCAAACCAUGGUACUAACUCCCGCGUGAGGCCUCCCUCCUCGGCCAAGCCAGAACUGAUCUCUCUCCUUCCCUGUAAGGGAUUUGGUUUACACCAAAUGCCAUGACAAUUCCUGGCACGGAGUUGGAGUUCGUGAAAUAAAAGUUGUAA